GACGAACGCUGGCGGCGUGCUUAACACAUGCAAGUCGAACGGAAAGGCCCCUUUCGGGGUACUCGGGUGGUGGACGGGUGAGUAACACGUAAGUAACCUUCCCCUGACUUCGGGAUAACUUCAGGUUACUGGGGCUAAUACUGGAUAGGAAUCCUUGCUUCAUGGUGGGGGUUGAAAAGCUUCGGCCGUUUUGGCUGGACUCGCGGGUUAUCGGCUUGCUGGUGUGGUAGUGGCUUACCAAGGCGUUGACGGGUAGCCGGCCUGAGAGGGCGACCGGCCACACUGGGACUGAGGGAAGGCCCAGACUCCUAAGGGAGGCAGAAGUGGGGAAUAUUGCCGAAUGGGCGGAAGCCGGAUGCAGAAACGCCGCGGGCGGGAUGACGGCCUUAGGGGUGAAGACCGCAUUCAGCAGGGGCGGAGCUUAUGGUGACGGUACCUGCAGAGGAAGCACCGGCUAACUACGUG
rnacentral:rRNA from 1 species